AGUCGAGCGAUUUACUUCGGUAAAGCAGCGGCGGACGGGUGAGUAACGCGUGGGCUAACCUGCCCUGUACACACGGAUAACAUACCGAAAGGUAUGCUAAUACGAGAUAAUAUGCUUUUAUCGCAUGGUAGAAGUAUCGAAGCUUUUGCGGUACAGGAUGGACCCGCGUCGGAUUAGCUAGUUGGUAAGGUAACGGCUUACCAAGGCGACGAUCAGUAGCCGACCUGAGAGGGUGAUCGGCCACAUUGGAACUGAGACACGGUCCAAACUCCUACGGGAGGCAGCAGUGGGGAAUAUUGCACAAUGGGCGAAAGCCUGAUGCAGCAACGCCGCGUGAGCGAUGAAGGCCUUCGGGUCGUAAAGCUCUGUCCUCAAGGAAGAUAAUGACGGUACUUGAGGAGG
rnacentral:rRNA from 1 species